GUCUCACCUUAAUAUAUCAUCUGUUUAUUUUCAAUCGAAGUUGAAAGCUCCAUGACAAAAACACUUCUGCCCCGAGGCUGGAGGGCCAUCAGAGAAACAAAAUAAUUAUCCAUUUGUACAUUCUAUUAUGCUUUAGCCACAAAUAUCAACAGCUUAAGUUUUGGACCACUAUGGUUUAUGAUUGUUGCUUCUAAAUACAAAUAUCUGUUAGACAAAUAAAACAUGGUCUCUGGUAUAACAAAGUUCAAUAGUAUAAAAAGAUUGUAUGUCUGGUUGCAUAAAAUGUAAAGGUUUCAUAUAACUUCUUGAUUUUGACUAGAAAUACCAAAUCGAAAUGAUGAGCCAAUAAGCCUUCAAAAUGGCUUCAGACAUCCUAAAGUGUAUAGAUUGGAACGAUGACGGCAUUCUCCUCAGACCAACAAGUUUCUGUUAGGGGGUGAGGGCUGUGGAGCAAGGCAUCCAACCCCUGUAUCGAUCACCCCAAAGAGCGCUGCAGAAUGUGAAUUCGAUCUGUUCGUUCUGAUGAUACUAUUAACUAUUCUGUGGAAUAAUUGUAAUUUUUCAUAACAAACCCCAUUGCUUUGGUCUAUUUAAUAGCAGGAUUCAAGUUAAAAAGAACACCGUUUAGAUUUCAUCAAGCCACAGGCUGAACAAACGCGCAACCAUGUGUGCCUAGACCACACUGCCGACACAUUGAAUUAACUUUGUUUUUUAUUAGUAGACUCAUGAAUAAAAAAAACAACAUUCUGAUCAGUAAAUUAAUCUAGGAUAGUUUAGAUGAUUCCAAGAACCCAGGAAAGCCCACGCCUAGACAGUUAGAAACACACAUUCAAUUAUGGCCAGAUAACGCAAGGCUGACAUAACAUACAACUUAAAAAUAUUUAUCAUCAUCAUCAGGUGGUCUUUCAGCGAGAUGGGUUUAUUCAAUAAAUGCAACCGGCAUAUGCAGUCCAACACAAAGUCGGUGGAAAUUCAGCUUCAAGUGACAGUUGGAAGAUGUUUUAAUAGGUCCCUGACCGCAGUGAUGAAACACUCACAAGGGAGUUUCCUAAUUUACCAAAAUAAUAAAUGAAGGAUAAAACAAAUAAAACCCAUUUCAGGUUAGAUCAAAUACCCGUAGGUAUUAUGAUCUGCAUUUCCCCCCCCAUCUCUUCAAUACAGAAUGUAUGUGAGAUAGCAAUAUCUGUAAUAUAAUUCUGAACUACGAUCAGUGAACACCAGAAACAGUUGCAGUAGAUAUAAAUUGCACCCAUGUUUCUGUAGCUAUUAUUGGGGAAACCAAUUGCAUUUGCCAAAGACUCCCACCUGACGGGGACCAACCCGGCUCCAUGUCUUCCCUCCAGAGCAUGGGAGAUCUCUAUUGGCCAGUAACAGGACAUGUAAUCAACUAUGAAAUGAGUAGUGGAAAAGAAAAACGAAUGAAUGGUUAAUGUGUUUUAAAUGGGUAGAGUACCCUGGUAGGUCGGUUGGCUUUAAAACCCAGUGUUGAAAAAUGAUAGUUUGUAUCAAAAAGAAGAAAAAAGAAAUAUGUAAUGCACAAGCUGGGGUUUGUGCCCAUCCAGAACAAUUUUUUUAUAUGUGGAAUUUAGAUUGUCAAAAUCCAAGACAGCAGAGCAUUAUUUCAGGGGCUGCGGGUUGAUAAAAAUAGUUAAAUAAAUAAAGAAAAGCCUCUACCCUGUUGGUCAAAAACAUGAGGGACAUCUUAACAGUCUGGAUGGUAAGGAAAACAAAAACAAAGACAACGUAGUCUAUGACAAGACCCCCUAAAGCCAACCAAACCGAGAUGGAUUUGUCCGUGUAGUUGCCAACUAUUCACCCUUCAUCUCCAGCAUCCGUGUGUGUGUGUGUGUGUGUGUGUGUGUGUGUGUGUGUGUGUGUGUGUGUGUGUGUGUGUGUGUGUGUGUGUGUGUGUGUGUGUGUGUGUGUGUGUGUGUGUGUGUGUGUGUGUGUGUGUGUGUGUGUGUGUCAUCAGAGGGGGGGAGGUGGGAGGCCAUCAGUAAUGAAAUCGUUCACUUCACCCACUUAACAAAAAAGCGCGCACACACACACACACACACACAUGUUCAGGAUCAUAAACAAACAAACAAAAACAAAGACAACGUAGUCUAUGACAAGACCCCCUAAAGCCAACCAAACCGAGAUGGAUUUGUCCGUGUAGUUGCCAACUAUUCACCCUUCAUCCGUGUGUGUGUGUGUGUGUGUGUGUGUGUGUGUGUGUGUGUGUGUGUGUGUGUGUGUGUGUGUGUGUGUGUGUGUGUGUGUGUGUGUGUGUGUGUGUGUGUGUGUGUGUGUGUGUGUGUGUAUCAUCAGAGGGGGGGAGGUGGGAGGCCAUCAUUAAUGAAAUCGUUCACUUCACCCACUUAACAAAAAAGCGCGCACACACACACACACACACACACACACACACACACACACACACA